AAUGAAUUGUUGCCGAAUUUCAUUUUGAAAACGGGGGAACCACUUUUGGGUGAAUUAUUCUUGAAAGCAAAGGAAUAUAGGGAACCUUUAACCGAACCCUCAGCUAACUCCGUAGGCAUUGAAGGGAGCAAAG
rnacentral:sRNA from 2 species